AAAAAACCGAUUCUGAGCACAAUAUUACUAAUGAUUUUGUCCCAUAGCCAAUAAGUAACCCAGAAAACAACACAAAUUAAAACCGAUUUAUCGACAUUGAUUGUUACGGCGUUUUUUUUGAUUUUAUAGAAUAUAUAUUAUAUUAAUUUAGACAUUUUAUUCAUAUAUUGUACAACAGGGUGAAAAAUCCACAUCUUUUAAGGUACGGUGCGAAUAAUUUGGCUCCGGAAAAUUAUUCAUAACAUGGUAAAGUAACGUUUAAGAAACCAAAUGUUCACCAUAAAACAAAUAGCACUUUCACCGCGCCAAAUUAAUUUUAGUUUUUCCAUAUCACUGAAUUACGAAAUAAUUUAUUCUAGUUUGAAUUUAUAACCUUCUUUUUGAGAGGUUUGUAUUAUUCGUAGGUAUAAUAUACCAAUAUCGAAAACAUAUAAUA